rnacentral:rRNA from 1 species
AUUGAACUGAAGAGUUUGAUCCUGGCUCAGAUUGAACGCUGGCGGCAUGCCUUACACAUGCAAGUCGAACGGCAGCACGGGCUUCGGCCUGGUGGCGAGUGGCGAACGGGUGAGUAAUACAUCGGAACAUGUCCUGUAGUGGGGGAUAGCCCGGCGAAAGCCGGAUUAAUACCGCAUACGAUCUGAGGAUGAAAGCGGGGGACCUUCGGGCCUCGCGCUAUAGGGUUGGCCGAUGGCUGAUUAGCUAGUUGGUGGGGUAAAGGCCUACCAAGGCGACGAUCAGUAGCUGGUCUGAGAGGACGACCAGCCACACUGGGACUGAGACACGGCCCAGACUCCUACGGGAGGCAGCAGUGGGGAAUUUUGGACAAUGGGCGCAAGCCUGAUCCAGCAAUGCCGCGUGUGUGAAGAAGGCCUUCGGGUUGUAAAGCACUUUUGUCCGGAAAGAAAUCAUUCUGGCUAAUAC